rnacentral:rRNA from 1 species
UGGGGAAUAUUGGACAAUGGGCGCAAGCCUGAUCCAGCAAUACCACGUGAGUGAUGACGGCCUUCGGGUUGUAAAACUCUUUUAGUAGGGAAGAUAAUGACGGUACCUACAGAAAAAGCACCGGCUAACUUCGUGCCAGCAGCCGCGGUAAUACGAGGGGUGCUAGCGUUGUUCGGAAUCAUUGGGCGUAAAGCGUGCGUAGGCGGUUUAGUAAGUCAGCUGUGAAAGCCCAGGGCUCAACCCUGGAAUUGCAGUUGAAACUACUAUGACUAGAGUAUGGCGGGGGAUAGUGGAAUUCCUAGUGUAGGGGUGAAAUCCGUAGAUAUUAGGAGGAACAUCAGUGGCGAAAGCGACUAUCUACACCAUUACUGACGCUGAGGUACGAAAGCGUGGGGAGCAAACAGGAUUAGAUACCCCCGUAGUCC